ACAAACUUGGUCAUUUAGAGGAAGUAAAAGUCGUAACAAGGUUUCCGUAGGUGAACCUGCGGAAGGAUCAUUAUCGAGGUUCAAUGCGUCUGAGCUGGCUCCGGCAAGUGCUCGACGCCUCGUCCACUCAACCCUUGUGCACCUGAGAAGGGCGGCGGGGUCGAAAGACCCUCUGCCGCGCUUCGACCCUUUACACAUACACUCUUGUCUUUUGAAUGUACAUGCUUCGCUUCGGCGAAUAGAAACAAAUACAACUUUCAACAACGGAUCUCUUGGCUCUCGCAUCGAUGAAGAACGCAGC
rnacentral:misc_RNA from 1 species